CAACAACCUUGAGAAAUGCAAGUCAAGGACUUACUGAGGCAACGCUGACCUGGACACCACAAGAAUCUGACUUGCAUCAUCAUGUACCUGUCUGUUUUGCUGCAGAGACACUUCAGAGUCAGUCAGAGAUGAGGUGUAUUGUGAUCGUUGUGGCAAAAUCAAUGGUUCUCUCAGGUGAAGCAGAGGUCUUCUGUGAGGACAGCAGUAUCAGCAUUGCAGUAAGCAAAGCCUCCAUGA